rnacentral:rRNA from 1 species
GAUGAACGCUAGCGGCAGGCCUAAUACAUGCAAGUCGGACGGGAUCCAUCGGUAGCUUGCUACCGAUGGUGAGAGUGGCGCACGGGUGCGUAACGCGUGAGCAACCUGCCCAUAUCAGGGGGAUAGCCCGGAGAAAUCCGGAUUAACACCGCAUGACACUGCUUUCCGGCAUCGGGAGGCGGGUAAAUAUUCAUCGGAUAUGGAUGGGCUCGCGUGACAUUAGCUAGUUGGUGGGGUGACGGCCCACCAAGGCGACGAUGUCUAGGGGCUCUGAGAGGAGAAUCCCCCACACUGGUACUGAGACACGGACCAGACUCCUACGGGAGGCAGCAGUAAGGAAUAUUGGUCAAUGGGGGCAACCCUGAACCAGCCAUGCCGCGUGCAGGACGACUGCCCUAUGGGUUGUAAACUGCUUUUGUUAGGGAAUAAACCCCGCUACGUGUAGCGGGCUGAAUGUACCUAAAGAAUAAGGAUCGGCUAACUCCGUGCCAGCCGCCGCAGUAA